CCUACGGGUGGCAGCAGUGAGGAAUAUUGGUCAAUGGCCGGAAGCCUGAACCAGCCAAGCCGCGUGAGGGAGGAAGGUGCAGCGCGUCGUAGACCUCUUUUGUCGGGGGACAAAAGCCCGGACUCGUCCCCUCCUGAGGGUACCCGGAGAAAAAGCAUCGGCUAACUCCGUGCCAGCAGCCGCGGUAAUACGGAGGAUGCGAGCGUUAUCCGGAUUUAUUGGGUUUAAAGGGUGCGCAGGCGGCCUUUUAAGUCAGCGGUAAAAUCGCGGGGCUCAACCCCGGCGAGCCGUCGGAACUGGGGGGCUGGAGUGGGAGAGAAGCACGCGGAAUGCGCGGUGUAGCGGUGAAAUGCAUAGAUAUCGCGCAGAACCCCGAUUGCGAAGGCAGCGUGCCGGGUCGACACUGACGCUGAGGCACGAAAGCGCGGGGAUCGAACAGGAUUAGAUACCCCGGUAGUC
rnacentral:rRNA from 1 species